rnacentral:snRNA from 1 species
GUGUUUGCUUUGGCAGCACAUAUACUAAAAUGGAAACAAUACAGAGAAGAUUAGCAUGGCCCCUGAACAAGGAUGACAUGCAAAUUUGUAAAGUGUUCCACAUUUUU